rnacentral:lncRNA from 1 species
AGAAAUUUAACUAUAAAUACAUGUUUUGAGUUAUUACUAAAAUAAUUUCCUUUGACAAUACUAUUGCCGUAGAGAGAAAUAAAAUACAUGUUUUGAGUUAUUACUAAAAUAAUUUCCUUUGACAAUACUAUUGUCGUAUUUUAUUUCUCUCCAACUGUUUCUCUGUUAUUUCUAUAAUUUCAAAGCUAAAAACCAACAAUUGGUAUCAAGAACCAGUUUCUUGAGGGAUCUGUGAGAGAUGAAUUCUGAAAAUAACUUUUCCCAAAU